rnacentral:lncRNA from 1 species
AAAAACAACUAUUGUCACAAUCGCUAUUGUCUCGCUUAGCGAAGGCUUAGCGAAGCUUCGCUGCAGGCUCGCCUAGCGAAUGCCUGCGGGUUUUGGAUUCUCCAUUGAUAACAGUAUGAUUUUAGAAAUCGCCAACCCUAUGGUAUCCAUCUCAGCAACGAAGUGAUUAAACAUUCAAGGCAUUAUUCUACACAUUCAUGCACAUCUAAACCCACACGUAAAAC